rnacentral:tRNA from 1 species
GAGGAUUAGCUCAGUUGGUUAGAGCAAUCGGCUCAUAACCGAUCGGUCCCGGGUUCGAGUCCCUGAUCCUCC